rnacentral:rRNA from 1 species
UACGAAGGGGGCUAGCGUUGUUCGGAAUUACUGGGCGUAAAGCGCGCGCAGGCGGUCUUCCAAGUCAGUGGUGAAAGCCCGGAGCUCAACUCCGGAACUGCCAUUGAAACUGUUAGACUUGAGGAUGAGAGAGGUGAGUGGAAUUCCCAGUGUAGAGGUGAAAUUCGUAGAUAUUGGGAAGAACACCGGUGGCGAAGGCGGCUCACUGGCCCGAUACUGACGCUGAGGCACGAAAGCGUGGGGAGCAAACAGG